AUGGCUCUGAGUAAAUUAAUGCAUGAAAGAAAUAAAUACAAGGAUAUACCUCCUGAUUUUGCAUAUCUGACAUCCAAAUACCCAGAUUUUAAGCAGCAUGUUCAGAUAAAUCUGAAUGCAAGAGUAAGUGUUAAUUUUAAAGACCCUGAAGCAGUCAGAGCUCUAACUUGUACUCUCCUAAAGGAAGAUUUUGGACUUUCUAUUGAUAUCCCAUUGGAGAGAUUAUUUCCCACAGAUCUAUUGAGACUCAACUAUAUUCAUUGGGUGGAAGACCUGAUUGAUCAUCAAGACUCUGAGAAAAGUACUCUCCAAAGAGGAACUGACAUAGGUCCAGGGGCAUCCUGCAUCUAUCCCUUACCUUACUUGGAGCAACCUUAAAUGGCUGGCAUUUCCUUGCUAUAGAAGUAGAUGAUAUGUAUUUCAACUAUGCAAAGAAAAAUGUGGAACAGAGUAACUUAUCUGAUAUCAUAAAAGUGGUAAAAGUGCCACAAGACACUCCUGAUAGUCUUAAAGAAAAAUCUGAGAUAAUCUAUAACUUUUUUAUGUACAGCACCCCCGCUUUUUGCCAAACAAUUGGAAGCCUAGGGAAUAAACUCUCGAAACCUCAAAGACCUCCACCUAGUUCUGAAAAUACAGGAGGUAUCACAGAAAUCAUGGCAGAAGGAUAAAUUAGAAUUUGUURAAUGAUCAUCUAUCACAGUUUACAGCUUUAAAAAAGGCUAAGGUGGUAGAGCUGUAUGCUGGGAAAGAAAUGCAGCCUGGCUCCACUGAAGGAAGAACUUUGCAUCCAAGGGGUUCCCAAAGUUACCUUCACUGAGUUUUGUCAAGGUUUUGUCAAUGAGGUGGGCCUUGGCUUGGAGUUUUUAUGAUGAUAUCACAGUACCAUUCCCAUCACGUAAGCAAAGAAAAGUAGAGAAGCCAAGAAAACCCAUUACGUUGUGGUGUUGGAGUCUGUGAUAAAAGAAUUAUCCCUCAAAGUAUCAUCCUUGGGCUCUGAGACAGUGGAGGGCAUAGUGGUCUUAACAACAUGGAUAGAAAAAAUUCUCACUGAUUUAAAGGUCUAGCAAAAAUGAGUUCCCUGUAGAAAACAGGGAGUUAGUCUUUCCCUGAAAGCCACAGAAAACUCCUGAAUUCAUUUAAGGCGAAAGAACAGAAAGCCAGUAAGACAACUGAGGGAAGUGCCUGGAGCUCCUGAGGAUGUCAUACAGGCCUUGGAGGAGAGAAAAGCUAUCCCCAGAGAAUUGGGCAGUAGCCAGAAUUUGGCCCCAAGCCCCCAGGAGGGUACCCUGCGGGGUCUGCUCUGCAGAGGGCGAGUCUGCCACUGUUGGGGGCCACUGCCCAAGUGGAAAUCCCAGAACUCAUGGAGGAUGAAAGCAGUGAGGAAAGGGGAGGGGAGAAGGUUGUGGACAGUUAUAAAGUCUUUGGCAAUGAAGCCCAGGAUCCAGAGGCUUCUGAGAAGUUUAGCAACCCAGGGGCUGAAAAGUGGGGGGAAGCCCCUCCAAGGAGCAGCUGAUUAUUACCUAUUUAAGUGUUUGAUAAACAUUAAGAAGGAAAUGGAUGAUGCCUUAGUUGAAAUGCAGUGGGUUGGGGGACAGAACAGAGAUUUGAUGAACCAGCUUUGUACCUGUAUACAUAACCAGAUUUUUAGGCUUUUUGCUACUACCUUGGAAAUUGCUGAAGACUAUCCAUUAUUUCAAUCAAUUUAUAGAGUGAUUGCCACAGAUGAGGACUCUGCAAAUGGUGAUCAGCUGAUGUACACCAUUGAGACACAGUUAUCUGGACCAACGGAAGGAGCAAAUUCUUUUGGAAUGGAUCCUGUAAGUGGUGUUGUUAGCUUGAAAGGUGGAGACCCCCUGGACUUUGAAGCUGGAUAUCAUGUUUUCCAGCUUGCCCUGAGAGCAACAGAUAAAACAGGUCUGUUCUGCCAAGGGACACUAAUUAUCAAGAUUAUAGACAUAAAUGAUGAGAAGCCUCAAUUUGAGCCAUUUCCUCUGGAUUCUAUUAAUGUGACUGAAAAGAAGCCUGUAGGAGAAAUUAUAGCAAGAGUAAAAGCAACAGAUCGAGAUGAAGAUAACAGCAUCACUUAUUCCUUUAAAACUCAGCAGGAAAUGUUUGGUUUGGACCCUCUUAAAGGUAUAAUCACUCUUCUUCAGCCUUUGAAUCUUGACAACCCAAAUAACUCCAAAACCUACCCUUUGGAAAUUGAGGCCAGAGAUAAUGGAAAUAAUACCAACACUUACAUGUUUACAGUUUUUGUGGAGAACAUAGAUGAUCCUAUUUCCUGUGACUCAAGUUUUUCAACAGGAGCAGGUGUUUCAGUGUCUGUUCCUGAAAAUAUUCCUGCAUCUGCUUUUAUAUAUAUGAUUCUUUCAAGGGACCCAGAUAUAGGACAAGAAGUUGAAUUUCUAAUAUUAAAUUCUUCAAGUAACGCCACUGCCUACUUUGCUUUGGAUUCACGUAAUGGUGUCAUUUCUAAAACCAUUGAACCUCUUUUGGACUAUGAAACAAAUCCUAAGCAUUUCCAGUUUGUAAUUGCUGUUAGGAAUAAGGAGAACCUCCCUGUGGAGUCAUGUGUUGGCACCAUCACUAUAAACAUCCAGAAUGUUAAUGAUGAGAGUCCUGUUCUUACAUACAUACCAGAUGCACCUAUAAAUAUUUAUGAAAAUCUGCCUGUUGGAACAAUGCUGGUCAAGUUGACAGCAACUGAUAGAGACAUAGGGGACUCAGUACACUAUGAAUUUCUAGGUACACAAAAAGAAUUUUCUAUAAAUGAAGAUUCAGGAGAGGUCACAAUUGCCUAUCCUUUGGAUUAUGAGGAUGUAGCCACCCCAAAGUCUUGGGUAUUAUAUAUUAGAGCUUAUGACAACAAACGGAUGCAUUCAACAACUGGGUCAUUCACAGUGACACUACAAGAUGUGAAUGACAAUCCACCUCAGUGCUCACAGGAUAUUUACACAAUUGAACUUCCUGAAAACAUCCCAUCUGAAACUCUUUUAGUCUCUCUAACAUGCACAGAUAAGGAUGGAACUCUUCCUAAUAACAACAUAACUUAUCAUUUGAUUAUGGAUACUUUUUCAAAUAAAACCUUUACUCUCACAAACAAUGAACUGAGGAUUGGAUCUACACAUUUAGAUUUUGAUAAUGCUAUUUUUGCAGGAAUGCACUUCAAAUAUACAUUGUUUGUGAGAGUUUCUGAUGAAGGAAGUCCUGCACUCUCAACUAUUCUUACAAUCAUUGUAAGGGUGAGUCGCAUAAAUGAACUAAAUCCAGUUGGAACUACAUCGGUUACCUUCACUAUAUUUGAAAAUAGUCCAGUUGAUGCACUAGUUGGAAAAAUUACAUUUACAGAUGCAGACUGGCCAUUUAACAACUUAAAAUAUACCAUUGUUGGAGGCAAUGUGGGAACUCCUCCCAAAUUUUACAUUGAACCAGAUACAGGCAUGAUAAAGCUACUAGAUUCACUAGACAGGGAAGUGGAAUCACAGYAUAAGAUAACCGUCAGGAUUGCAGACUUGGACAACGAUGCCAUUCCUGACCCCUUCAGACAAAGGAGGGCUACUGCUCAGGUGACCAUCAAUGUUCUGAAUAUAAAUGAUGAGCCUCCUGUAUGCAAUCCACCACAUUUGGAAACUUGGAUUUACUCCAUUGUUAAGGCUCCUUUUGUUCACCUCAACUGUUCAGACAGAGAUUCUCCAAAGGAACAUCUGAGCUAUUCAAUUGUAGGAGGAAAUGCAAAUAAUCAGUUCACACUUCGGAGAUUGGGUGUUGAACCUCCUUUUCUGGUCAUCAGUCAGAAUUUCCAGGAUGAUGUAUUUCAAGGGAUUCAAGACCCAGUGACUUUCCAGUUGCUUAUUGAAGUCACUGAUGAAUUAGGUGGGAAUAAAGCUCGUCAGCUGUCAGCUACUACUACAGUCAUAAUUCAUGUGCUUCCCUGGACCACARCACAGCCAACUUCUUCCACAAAAACAUCUACAACUACAGUAAGUAUCUAG